rnacentral:rRNA from 1 species
CCUACGGGUGGCAGCAGUGAGGAAUAUUGGUCAAUGGACGAGAGUCUGAACCAGCCAAGUAGCGUGAAGGAUGACUGCCCUAUGGGUUGUAAACUUCUUUUAUAUGGGAAUAAAUCAGGGUACGUAUACACGCUUGUAUGUACCAUAUGAAUAAGGCAUGGCUAACUCCGUGCCAGCAGCCGCGGUAAUACGGAGGAUCGGAGCGUUAACCGGAUUUAUUGGGUUUAAAGGGAGCGUAGGUGGAUUUGUAAGUCAGGUGUGAAAGUUUGCGGCUCAACCGUAAAAUUGCAGUUGAAACUGGCAGUCUGGAGUGCAGUAGAGGUGAGCGGAAUUCGUGGUGUAGCGGUGAAAUGCUUAGAUAUCACGAAGAACUCCGAUUGCGAAGGCAGCUUACUGGACUGCAACUGACACUGAUGCUCGAAAGUGUGGGUAUCAAACAGGAUUAGAUACCCUAGUAGUC